rnacentral:rRNA from 1 species
UACGUAGGGUGCAAGCGUUAAUCGGAAUUACUGGGCGUAAAGCGUGCGCAGGCGGUUCUAUAAGACAGAUGUGAAAUCCCCGGGCUCAACCUGGGAACUGCAUUUGUGACUGUAGAGCUGGAGUGCGGCAGAGGGGGAUGGAAUUCCGCGUGUAGCAGUGAAAUGCGUAGAUAUGCGGAGGAACACCGAUGGCGAAGGCAGGUCUCUGGGCUGACACUGACGCUCAUGCACGGAAGCGUGGGGAGCAAACAGG